UACGAGAGGCCCAAACGUUAUUCGGAUUUACUGGGCUUAAAGAGUUCGUAGGCGGCGCAGAAAGUAGGGUGUGAAAGCCCUCGGCUCAACCGAGGAAUUGCGCCCUAAACUACUGUGCUUGAGGGACCUAGAGGUGAGCAGAACAGAUGGUGGAGCGGUGAAUUGCGUUGAUAUCAUCUGGAAUACCGGAGGCGAAGGCGGCUCACUGGGGGUCUUCUGACGCUGAGGAACGAAAGCCAGGGGAGCGAACGGG
rnacentral:rRNA from 1 species